rnacentral:rRNA from 1 species
UACGUAGGGACCAAGCGUUGUUCGGAUUUACUGGGCGUAAAGGGUGCGUAGGCGGCGUGACAAGUCACUUGUGAAAUCUCCGGGCUUAACUCGGAACGGCCAAGUGAUACUGUCGUGCUAGAGUGCAGAAGGGGCAAUCGGAAUUCUUGGUGUAGCGGUGAAAUGCGUAGAUAUUGGGAAGAACACCGGUGGCGAAGGCGGCGACCUGGUCCUUGACUGACGCUGAGGCGCGAAAGCGUGGGGAGCAAACAGG